rnacentral:rRNA from 1 species
UACGUAGGGUGCAAGCGUUGUUCGGAUUUACUGGGCGUAAAGGGCGCGUAGGCGGCAAUUCAAGUCAGUUGUGAAAUCUCCGAGCUUAACUCGGAACGGUCAACUGAUACUGCUUUGCUAGAGUACAGAAGGGGCAAUCGGAAUUCUUGGUGUAGCGGUGAAAUGCGUAGAUAUCAAGAGGAACACCUGAGGUGAAGACGGGUUGCUGGGCUGAUACUGACGCUGAGGCGCGAAAGCUAGGGUAGCAAACGGG